UACAGAGGUCCCAAGCGUUGUUCGGAUUCAUUGGGCGUAAAGGGUGCGUAGGCGGCGCGGUAAGUCGGGUGUGAAAUCUUGGAGCUUAACUCCGAAACUGCAUUCGAUACUGCCGUGCUUGAGGACUGGAGAGGAGACUGGAAUUCCUGGUGUAGCGGUGGAAUGCGCAGAUAUCAGGAGGAACACCGGUGGGCGAAGGCG
rnacentral:rRNA from 1 species